ACAACCGAGCAGAAUGGUGCUCCUUGGAAGAACUGACCGUGAAGCAGAGAGGAGGGGGUAAGCUCCUCUGUCAGCUAAGCUCCCCACGUCUGCUGACUGAGCCCGAAAGAGCAGGAAAAGCCUCCAGGCUUCACCAGUGAUUCCUGCUGCUUGAAACCUGCUUUUCAAGAAUGGACUUGAGCAGAAGAAGCCAGGCCAGCGGCAUCAUAAACUCAACCCCCCUCACGCAGAACCUGUCUCCCCUACCAAAGAAAUAUGCAACCUGCAAAGAGGCAAGCCCCGAAACCAACCAUCAGCUUCCUCCCUCUUCAGCACCCACUAAUCAGAAACCCAGGGUUGCAGUGCAGACUUCUGUUGAAGAUGGGUAGUAGGCCCCUGCUCAGCCAUGAACCUCAGACCAACCUGCUUGCGUUGAUCUUCAAUUUUUAAAUACUCCAAAUCCACUCUCAGCAUUCCCCAGCCCAACAGAAUAUAAGGUUUGGAGUGCAGCUGACAAGCCAAUAGCCCUCCUGCCAAGGAGGGGGUUAGGAGGGGGCCACACCAAGGAUAGGUGGGCACUCCGGAGGUAGCUUAGAACUUGGAACUCGGAGCCCGACUCUAGGAACCAGGAAGCUGACGCUUCUGAUCGCUAGUUCCAGGGCACUGACAACAAGGAAGCCCACCGACAGGCGAGGAAGCGAGGGCCCCUUGCACAGCCCUGGAGUGCGACCUCCGUGGAAGACAACCCUUCGCGGGAAAGCCUCCUCUUCAAAACCUUUCGUGAACAAACUCUUCCACAAACCUGUAACCAACCAUAUGCCCCCCUCGCAGCCCCGAAGUUCCUUCUUUAGAUUUCUGUGAUCGCUAGGAGUCAAAGUUUUUAAAAGCCCGUCCUCCAUCCUCAGCACCUCCACAUCCCGAAAGGUGCCCAGCAAAGUACAGGCACCAGCAGUCCCAAUAACUUUACUUAAUGAAUUAACAAAUCAAUGGCCAGCCACAGGAGCUCACAACUGGGAAAAGAUGGGAAAUUGUCUGGGACUCUCAGGGCAAGAGGGAUGGAAGACCAACCCCCGUUACUGUUUUCUUUCUCCAUUCUUCUAUCUGGCCACUGGGAAAGGUGUUCGCCCCAACUAAGCCAGGGAAAGGAACUUGGGCUAGCCGGGGAUGCACCCUGAAAUCAAACCUCUAGGCUCUCCGUAAAAAGCCCCUUUGUCCUGCCCCCCCAGCCCCUCCCCCACCGCGCCCUCCCCUUCCAGGCCGGCCUGGAACUUGGGCUCCUUUUGUUUGCCUGCCUUCUGGCUUGCCGGAACCUGGCCAGGAGAUCCACCGGGCUGGGGAGAGGGUCGAAGGAGAAAGGUUGAGCCGUUGGAAACGGCUUUGGGGUGGGAAUUCUCGACCUCUUGGUAAAAUUACCCCCGUUCCCUGCAAGACCCCCUCUGCUGAGCAUGAAGAUCGGGGUUCAGGGACUCGAUCUCCCCCAGUUCUCCCGCGUCAGGUUCACUAAGUUUCCGUCUUACCUGUCCCACCGAGUUCUGGCUCCCCGCGCCUGCCCCCGCGCCCCCCGCGCCCUCCGCACAGCUUCAGGACCUGUUGGUCCCGCCCAUCUUCCCUCUCCCCAAGGCUCCCCCGGGCCUCCCCUCCCCGGAGGUAUUUCAUUUAACUUCGGCAUUUGCAGCAUCCCAAAUGUUAAAGAUCCCAAGACAUCUGUCCCCUGGGGCAUACCAAAGGCCCAGCGGAGAGAGGGGAAGAUGCUAGAAGGGAUUUGAGAUUCUGAUCCAAGAGACGGGGCGGGGCGUCACGUUGAGAUGGUACAGUGCCAGCCCGGGUUUGCAUCCUGCGGGAGCAACAGCGCAAGGGGUGACGCUGCCCCCUACCUCCUGCAUUCGGGCGGCCACAUGACCGGACACCCCCCGGCUAGGCCGGUUUCCGAAAUCCGGGCGGGACGAGGCUCGACUAGAGGUCUUAGGGCCGCCUUUCAUCCCCUCGCUCUGGCCCGGCUGGGGGCAGUUUUCAUUCCGGAGACCCCAGCGUGGAAGAAUGAAAGGAGACAGCAGCCCCUCCCCCUCCUUGCCGAUUCCUUCUCGCGGCCCGGACUGCGGCGCGAUCGAACUGGGGUCGCCUCCCCUCUUGCGGCCCCAGCCGAGUCCCUUUAGGGGUGGCGGGCAGAACGCGCGGGCUGCGGAGAGGCAAGGCACACACUCCUGGGCAGCGCCUCCUGCUGCUUGCUACGAUCCCGCGAAACCAUCCAUUCAUUCACUUAGACUUGCUCUUUCCCUCUUUUCGUUGAUUCUGUUUACACUUGUGAAACCCUUUGCCAGGGCCAAGCUAAGUUCAGACUUCAUCACUAGAGGGUUGUUGAGUCUACAGCAUAAAUUUGAAGAAUUUAGGAUAGCGGAUGGGGAAGAGGGAUGAGGCUGCGACAGGCAGGGACCCGUCCUGGGGCAGAGCAGUUCUGUGUGGUUGUCUAAAAAAACUCACCCAAGCUCCAGUCGAUAUUAUCUGUAAUCAGAUCUAUGUUCAUUUGGAACUUGCGCUUUUUCUUAACGCGUAGAUGCCUUUUUUCUAAUGAGUAUAUGAGCUAAGCUGACUGAAGGAAUUGAAGAGUAACUACGAGUCAGGAUAGCCCAGAAGGGGUGGGGAGUGGGGAAGCCAUACGAAUAUGAACUCUGACAAGUGCAGAAUCCACAGGGCAUGACACAAACCCAUUGAGUGAGCCCCACCUACCCAUGGGGGAAAUCUGCUCUAUUCACAGUCCACUGAUUUAAAUGGACUCAUCAAAGAAAAUAUUAAUCUCAUCAAAGGAAAAAAAAAAACAAAAAAAAAACCCUUUCAA